AUUGAACGCUGGCGGCAUGCCUUACACAUGCAAGUCGAACGGUAACAGGGAGCUUGCUCCGCUGACGAGUGGCGAACGGGUGAGUAAUGUAUCGGAACGUACCAUUCAGUGGGGAUAACGUAGCGAAAGUUACGCUAAUACCGCAUAUUCUGUGAGCAGGAAAGCAGGGGAGUCGCAAGACCUUGCGCUGAUUGAGCGGCCGAUAUCAGAUUAGCUAGUUGGUGAGGUAAAGGCUCACCAAGGCGACGAUCUGUAGCGGGUCUGAGAGGAUGAUCCGCCACACUGGAACUGAGACACGGUCCAGACUCCUACGGGAGGCAGCAGUGGGGAAUUUUGGACAAUGGGGGCGAACCCUGAUCCAGCCAUGCCGCGUGAGUGAAGAAGGCCUUCGGUUGUAAG
rnacentral:rRNA from 1 species